rnacentral:rRNA from 1 species
GACGAACGCUGGCGGCGUGCUUAACACAUGCCAGUCGAACGGUGAAGCGCUUGCCUUUUUGGUGGGUGUGGAUGAGUGGCGAACGGGUGAGUAACACGUGAGUAACCUGCCCUCUUCUUCUGGAUAACCUCAUGAAAGUGGGGCUAAUACGGGGUAUUCCGGGUCUGUCGCAUGGCGGGUUUGGGAAAGAUUGCGCCUUUGGGUGUUUUCGGUGGGGGAUGGGCUCGCGGCCUAUCAGCUUGUUGGUGGGGUGAUGGCCUACCAAGGCGGUGACGGGUAGCCGGCCUGAGAGGGUGGACGGCCACACUGGGACUGAGACACGGCCCAGACUCCUGCGGGAGGCAGCAGUGGGGAAUAUUGCACAAUGGGCGCAAGCCUGAUGCAGCGACGCCGCGUGAGGGAUGGAGGCCUUCGGGUUGUGAACCUCUUUCGCCAGUGAAGCAGGCCUGCUCCUGUGUGGGUGGGUUGACGGUAGCUGGAUAAGAAGCGCCGGCUAACUACGUG